UGAGUUUAAGUCUCAACUAACUAUGCGAUGUUUCAGGUUUGUAGCAUCUUCUAGAGUGUGUUCAGAGCCCUGAUCAGUUUUCCAGAUCUUAAAAAUGAAAGGGAAUGGCAGCACUGGAGAUGAAAAGCAUUUAUUUAGAUUACCUCAAAAAAAUUUACCUCUCAUUUAGCAAAACUGGUGCUGUUUCAAUUUGACUGUUCUUGGAUAAAAACAAUGGAAAACAUAAAAAAAAAACAAAAACCUCAUAGAAAAGAUCUUGGGAAUGCCAUUUGUUGGAAAUCGGAAUAAUUUGACCCAUUUACUGUUUUACAUUUUUGUAGGAAAACAAAAUAUAUGCGUAACUGUAUGGCAAAAGAUGGAGGGCAGUAAAUAGAAGAAUAACUACUCUCCCUUCUUUCCCCCAACACACCACAUAGUCUGGUUUUUCUCUGUAGUGGUGCUCCUCAGGCCUGGUUCCAAACUCUGGCUUCUUUUUAUUUCUCCUUGCCUGUCCCUGCCUUUAACUCUGUGUCUAGCCCUAACACUCCCUCCUGGCUUUGGAACUUAGCUAUUUGAAAGUCAUACACUUGGAGGAAAUGAAAUUGUAUGUAAUGAGUACCUUGCUUUGUUACUUCUUUUUCCCUUCCCUUUGUUCCCAUCUCCAAGUAUUUUCUAAUGAGGUAUUUCUUACCUUAACCCGAACUGAUUUUAAUAGUAGAAAUUCCAGAUAGCAUGGCAGGUUGAUGGGGAGUAAAUGCCUGGGAAGAGUUUUGGGGAUUUUCUCAAAAACUGUAGGUAGGAAUUUGCGCUUUGUGUCUGUCAGGUUGCUUUUGGCUGUGGGGAAUGCAAAACAAAACAAAACAAGCUGUUUUUCUUUGUAUUGUCAGCUUAUAUACUGUUUGUGAAGACAAAAUACACACAGGGAAAUUCUGGAAGGAUAUCUAAGAUCAUAUAAGCAAGAAGCUGGUAGCUAAGCAAAAUAUUAAGUAAACAAAGAUUCAAGCCAUCCACCAGUGUUUCUAGCUGAAUGAGAUGGUAAUAUUGCUUUAAAAGAACAUCAAGCUAUGCUACAUCAGUAAUAAUGAUCAUGUUUGGAUUUUGAAGCAAAGUAUUAAAUAAUGCCAUUUCUCUGUGGUGUGUCAAGAGGAGCUCAUUGUGAAUUUAUUUUACUUAGAUUGGUUACCAUCUAUUCUAUAGUAUAGUAUAUUCUCUCUAUCUGGUUUUCCAUUUGAGUGCAGUAAGACCUCAUUAAUUCAGUGUCGUUAACUGAAACUAUGAUUAAGCAUUGGUGUUUGGUGGCUGAAGUCUCCAUCAGCAAUGGAUGUGAAGAAAGGGCCUGCUAAUCUAAUUAAUAAUAUAAACAACACGGUUUGGGCAUGGUUAAUAUACUUAACAGAACAGAUUCUUUUCGGGAUGUAGUGAGUAGCAUGUAAAUUAAUGCUAUUAAUUAAAAAUUAGAUCUGUUCGUUAGUGUUUUCUUUCAGGAUUUCUACUAUAAAGUAAAUGUAACAAAACAUUAUUUUCAAAACAUUUUGUAAACUAACACAAAAGCCUUAGGCAACAAUUGAGACUGUGAUUCGGGGAACUUCCAGUGAUUCUAAAAUGCCAUCGAAUAGGAAAUUAACAUUUAGAAAAGAAUAUGUUUUUGGAAACUGGGGGAAAGAACCUGUACUUUAAAUGAGCAAGCUAUUUUAAGACAUCCAGUUAAAAUGUGAAAAAAGUAACAGCUUAGAAUCUAGUUAGUUUUACAUUUGUUUAUGUUAGUUUAAAAACAUGCCUUUUUAUGUCUACUUCAUUUUUUAAAUCUGUUCAUUUCCAUAAAUAUGACCUGUUUUAUUUAUAAUUUUAAAAAUAUGAAAUAUGACUUUGAUAUAAUGUACGUUUAUAAUUUUUAUAAUUGGUCUCUCAUGCUUUUCCUUAUCUUUUCUGUGUCAGCCAUGUGUAAAGUUGGAACUAAUUACGAAACCAAAUAGAGUCCAUUUAGAGUGACCUCAUUGGAAAACAGCAUUUUUCUAGACAUACUCUCCUUUUAGCAAAUCCAGUUAAUUUACUGUUUUGAAAGUUUUGUGAAAAUAUUGGACACUCCUGAACUAUAGGGAAUGAUGAUGAUUCACGAUCUGGAACUUUGGUAAAUACUAAAAAAUCAUUUUGUCAUUUUUUUUUUUAGCAACUUUGUGGUGUAGCAUUCUCUUGAUAUUCAAGAGCGAUACAGUGAGAUUUUGAAUUCCAACUUUCUCCAAUUCCACUGUAAUAUAUUGUAAGUCACAGGUUUUUUCCUCAUUUGUAAAAUUGUACUCACCCCUCACUUCUGGGAACCAGAGGAUCCUCAAAUGGAAUUUGAGGUCACACUGGGUCCACUUGCCUGGGAAUGGCAAUUCAGUCACUGCUGACACAGAAUUACAAAUGACAAUGUGUUAAUGUAUUUUCAGGGUCACUCAAGAAUAGUCAGAACAAUUAAUAUUGAAGUCUGUGAAUGCCUUGGGUCUACAACAGUAGCUUAUGGUGGCAUUUAUUUUAUAGUUGAAGAAAUGGAGACAGAAUAGAUAGAAUGGUCGGUCACAGGUGGGACUAGAAUGCAGAUUUGGACUUGAAGAGAGAAUGAUCGGGAAAAUUCCAUGAAACAAAACAAAACAAAACAAAACAAAACAAACCGAGACCAGAAAAACCCCUCUUCCUUUGUUUACAUCUCAAUUUAUCAUUUUCUGUAAUGCUUUUGUAAUUCAGAAAUGCAGCCUUCUUCAACAUAACCUCCUGCCCUCCUCCUGCCCUCCGCUGGCCCCCAAAUGUCAUUGGAUUCUAUCCAAUGGGAAGAUAUAUGGGCUAUGAGAAGUUAAAAAAAAUGUGGCACCAGCUCUGCUGACUCCUUAUAUUCUUCUAAGUGGGCUUCAAGCCAUCGUUGACAUUUGUUUUUAAACAUCCUGUAAGCCAUGCCGUUUUAUCAAAUUAAAUUAAAAGCACAAUAUAUUCUCUUACAAUGACAGAACCUGAGUCAGGACUUCCAAGUUUGUGUUAUUAUUAUUAUUUUGCUUUUUACAAAGGAAUUAAAUGUUUUUAAAUUAAACCUGGCAUUGUUGGUCUGCUGUGCAUACUUAAUGCUAAUAAAGUACAUGCAUACCUUCUGUGUGUGGGUUUGAUUAUUGUCACGGGAACAGUUCUCAUCUUUUAAUUCUCAUCCUUUGAGCUUUGAUUCAGAGGACACCUCCUCUGGGACCGCAUCUCCUGAAACCUUCAACUGGAGUAAGGGGACUCAGCCUCUUCAUUUUCUCGGAGGACACUUUGAUUAGAGCAUGCUCUGUGAAGACUUAUUUACCUUUCUGCCUCCUCUCCAGGAGAGAGGGGCCUGCCUCCACUUAUCUUGGUAUAUUUAACCCCAGUGCAAUGCCUACUGUAGAAUAUACCCUUGAUACGUUGGUUGGUAAAUGAACAAAAUAACAGAUAAAGGAUAAGAGGGAUUUAAAUUUCCAAAUUAUAGAGUUCUUUUCUAUUAUGAAAUUUUGUGGAUCCUGUCAUGGACAGCUCACAAACAUCUGGUGAGUUUCUUGUUUCAUAAGUGCCAAUGCUGUAGAAGGGUUUUUUUCACAUGUAUUUCUGAAAUGCUCUCUCGUUAAUUGAGAUUAUAUGUUUUUUGCCCAAUAGACAGGCUACAGAAGCAUAGCGGGCAGGAGUGGCUUACCCAGGGAGUGCUUGGUUGUCGGUGGCUCAUUGUCAGUCAAAGGGCAUAUAGGUCUGUUUUCUCAGAGGUAGGUGAUGUUUUCUUCCUUCAGGAAGACUGGUGAUGAUACCAAGUUGAGAGAGAGCCACUAUGACAAGCCUCUGGGAGGCCCAGAUUAGACUUCACAAUUACAUUGCUUUCUUAGAUAAAUACACAAAUGCAAAUGAAUAAAAGUCAAUAUGUUCAGGAAUCAGAGCAGAGAUGUAGAACAUACUGCAGGCCCAGAUAAGACAUGUCUGUGUAAUACUAAUAAAAAAUCUUCAGGCCCAUUCUGUGAGUACAGGCUGCUGGUGAGUCAGCUCUGCCGAUGGCACGUCUACAUGGUGGAUGUUUUUCUGAAAACUCAGCCCUGGGAUCCACAUCAGCUGGGAGAGGGUAUGUUGUGAGGCACCUGCUGUCAGCCCAGUCCUUACAGAGCACCACUGAUCUGACCUAGUCCGCACUUGGUCAGGUGGCUCCCCACUGAAGCAGGCUUUCCAAGCCCCCGUUUAUGGGCUAGGAUUUAAUCUGUCUCCCUAGUGCAAAAAUACUUUCCUUUCAAGGAGUUGAAGACCAGGAAAACUAUAAUUCCCCCUAAAAUCACAUCACUGUCACUGCCAAUUUGCAGUCGGCAGUCAGGAGGAAUCUCUCUGUUGACUACACCUCUGGCCAGAAUUCUACUUGACUACUCUGUCUCAUUUCCACAUGCACUUUCAGAAAUGCAUGCAGAAAAUUUGGAGGUUCUUAAAAAAAAGAGGUUCCUUCCCCUCCUCCAAGUGGUUAAAGGACUUAAAAUUGUGAAAGGAACUAAGAUUAUUGAGUUUGGAUAAGAAAAGUUUGAGUGGUAAUUUAUAGAUUUCAGGUAUUAAUAAGUCUCUUUCUACAGUGGGUCACACUCCUACGUUAAUCUGUCACCACUAUCAAUUGAAUAAGAAAAAACACUAUCUGGAAGCAUCAGGGAUUUUGGUGACUUUUUUUUUUUUUUUAAAUCCAGUCAUACACGUUUAACACUGGCAUGGGUUAUGGGUGAUCUUCGGAAUGGAGAGAAUUGAUGAUUCUCGUUUAUUCAGGUUGUAAAUGUGAUCUAAAUCUAGAAUUACAAAAUUUUGAAGCUGGAAGAAACCUUGGGAAUCUAACUCCUCAGCUGGCCUGGAGCCAAUCCUCUGAUUCUGUACUGGUGAAAGGGACUGAGAGAUGAGUAGGAAAGCUUUUACCUCUUAACACUUGCCAAAGUGUCUGAGCCAAAGCAAAACAAACAAAUCAAACUCUUGGAAUUGGAAGGUGUGGCAGUGAUCUAGCUCAGUCCAUCCCCAAUUUGGAAUGUUCUGUCCAGCCUUUGUGAUGGAUGCUAAUCGCACUGUUUCAUGAAAGCAUGAAGGAGCCCCCUAGUGACAGACCUGCUCUCACCUGGCCAUUUCUACUUGUCAGAGUGUUUUCCUUAGAUUUGACAUCAGUUAAUGCUCUGGAGUACACAAUCAUUGUUCCUAGCAUUGCCCUGUAGAGUUCCCUAAGAUGAGCCUUAUCUGUCUUUCACAAGAGAGCUUAUUUGAUAUUAAAAGCAACUUUCAUGUUGUUAAGUCUUCUGGCUAUUCCCCACAUGACAUUGUUUCUGGGUCCUUCUCCAGCCCAGUAGCCUUCCUUUAAACCAUGGUGAUUGUCAAGUUCUUUGGAAAAUGGAGAAGUGAGUAAAGGUACAUGUUGGCUUACCUCUUUCUAUCGAACUUCCAGCACCUUCAGCUUGGUUGCCUAGGUACUCCUGCUUUUCUCUUCUGUGUUCUCAUGCUGACCCUUAAACUUUCAGGUCCUUCACUGAUCCAGUCUUGUAUCCCUUGAUGUCCCUUGGCUGGAGGGGGGACUGCUACUGCCAUGAUGCUCUUACUCCUCAUGGCUUCCUAUUGAAAUUCCCUUCUACUGUCAUCUCCCGGUCCUGCAGCUUGAAGGUGUCAAAUACCUAACCUGCUCUAUAUGCAGAGCUUUCCAGAAAAUCUGAAUAGCAGAUGCAUUUUAGCAGUGACUUUCUGGAGGUGUUGCCUUCCUUUUACUUGCUUUUAUAUGUAAUACAGACCAGUAAUAAAGACAGCAUGAUAGCAUGGUGAUAUUAGCGUGGUAUUUGAGGACAGGCCAAGUCCCUUGUUUACUUUUCAAAUCGCACCAUGAAGGCAGCUCAGCACCCUGCUUGCCCAGAGCCAAACUUGCCUUCUCUGCUUGCUCACUCUUCUGGGCACCUAGUCUUUGAAGGUUGUUGAUAAUAUACAGCUCCUAAGGCCAUUGAAUUUGGCUAACCUAGUGAGUUCGAUUGUAAUUUGAUACCUAGUUCAAGUUUCACGGAGGCCUAAAAGAGGCCAGUGCCUUCCAACUAUGGUGUCACAACACAUUUCUGUGUUACACUCAGCUGUGAGGUAUUAACAGCUACUGACAACAACGUACAGAAGUUUGCAAAUGACUUAUUUUAAAAUAUCUAUAUAUAAGCCAGGGUGGAUUCCUGUUCAACCCUAAAAUACUACGUUCGCUUGUAUUCUGAUGUUUUUCCUCAUGCAGGAGAAGGGAUGGAACUGUAGCUAUCGUGGUGGGCAUCUUGCAUAACGUACAGGCUUUUUGAUCUUCUGAUACACCGUUAAUCACAGUGGAAAUUGUACAUUCUCAUAGCCUAUGGCAGUGUUUGCUCUAUUCCAGUGGACAUUUUUGAGGACAGUUUAUUGCAAUCUGGAUCCAUGCAUGCUAGUGUAUUGUGCGAGUGAAUGUCAUGUGCAUCUUGACAGAAAGGCUGACUUCUGCACCUAGAGAGUGUACCUUCAUUAGCCAGAUCUGCAGAUUGGAUAGAUCUUGAAAUAUCCUGGGGUGAUUUCAAAGUGCUUUAUGCAGCCUGCUCUUUUCAAACAUCUCCCACGGGCCAUGGCCAAAAUUCCAUGAAUUGUUAUUUAGGAUGAGCUUGGCCUUGGCCUUUGGGUAGUAUUGAAUUCAAGAAAAGUCUUGUGCUUUCAGAGACUUUUUGAGAGUAAACUUCCAUGUCUCCUUUUGAAGAAGAAUGCCAUGCCUCUUGCACCACUCAGUUUUCUCUCUGCUCCCUUCAAGUGUGAUAUAAUUGUAAUACCCUAGUUGGUAAAUAGAUUAAAUAAUCCAUUAUUGAGUAUAAAAUGACUGUGGAAAAAAAAUUUUGUUUCCUUCACUUAUCAGACCAUUUUCCUACACAUCCAUCCUUCCAUCCUGUCCAUGCAUGCAUCACUGCUUGCCUGGGUCUGUGCUGUGUUCUUGGGGCUUAAAGUAGGCAAUCUCUGAAGGUUGCUAUCUAGUGUGUGUGUGUGUGUGUGUGUGUGUGUGUGUGUGUGUGUGUGUGUGUGUGUAGUGGUGGUGGGGGCGGGGGAAGCAAAUCACAGCAUAAGUGGUAAUUACUUUAAUAGCAGAAGAUACUACAUGCUGUGGAGGACAGUAAAGGAGUGAUUCACUGUUUUUCAUAGUUUGUACUUUAAUUUUUUGGCAAAAAUAAAGGGAAGCAAUAUUUUUUUCCUGUGUCUUGUAUAUAAGCACAAUGUUAGAGCAUGGGCUCCUUUGUAAAUAUAGAUGGAAUAAAAGGAGUGUUGAGUAUUUAUAUGUGGAAUUCUGUAGCUGUUACAGUUCACCUGUGAGCAAGGUGUAUGAGAAAUAAUCAUGGGUUGUGGAAGGUGGAAGAGGCUUUCAAAGUCAAGCCAACUAGUUCAACUAUCUUCCAAAAAAAAAAAAAAAAAAAAAAAAAAAAAGGAAAACCACCUUCCUAUUAAAUGGUUAAUAAGCCCUGCCGCCCCACCCCUGUAGAAUAUUUACAGUGAUGAAGAAGCAUCAGAGUGUAGAAAUAACAUUGGUUUACACUUUGAUAAAAUCUGCUUUUAAAUCCUGCUUUCUCUAUGUACCAGCUGUGUCUGUGGGGAGGUCAUGUAACAACCCUGAACCCAUUUUGUUUACUGAAAAGUGCAACGGAUAGUAUUAAUCUUUCAACUUUGCAAGACUAUUGUAAACUAUGAGAGGAAUUGUAUGUGAAAUGCCUAGCUUACUACCUGCCCCCCAGAAGACCUCAGUACAUGCUAAGCAUUGUGGGGGUGGUGUGUUUUUUGUUCUGUUUUUUGUUUUUUCAUUGUUGGACAGCUCCUUUGAAAGCAAAGUUUUUUGCUUCUGGAAGUAACCUGCAUUGAAGUAUCCUACCCAUUGUCAAAUCCACUGUAGUGUGAGGGCCUCUGCCAUUCCUCUGAGACUGGCAGAGGUCACCAGUGACUGUCCAGUUGCUGGCUUCUGUUGUAUUUGACAUAAUGGGCCACUUCUUUCUUCUUGAAACAUUGUCUUCAUUGGCUUUUGUGGGUUUCCUCUUUGACCUGUUUGCCAGCUCCUCUGGACUGAAUCCUGAAUGUUGAUGUUCCUUUUCUUUUUACAAGUUCUUCCAUGCAGUUUCAUAGCUUUACACGCAUAGGAUUGGUGACAGGUGUGUGCUGCUUGUAGGCUGAUGAGUAACACAUCUAUAUUUGAAACCUAGUUUUUUCCUCUGGAGCUUUCUCUCAAACCCUAUACAGAACAGUUGCUGUAGAUGGGUAUGGUGAAAAUCCAGUGGGGUAUUUCUUCUCCUGUGUUCCUUAGCCUGGCUGAUGUUACCAUCAUCCAUCCAAUUAAACAAAGCUGUUAUUCAGUUCAAGUUUUCUAAAUGUUUCACGUAGUGCUACAAUAGCUUCCCAACAUGAGUCUUUUUGCUUUCAAACUUGUCCCUUCUCAUAAAUUAGUUUUCCCACUAGAGGGAUCCUUUAAAAAUGAACAUCUGAUUAUGCUAAUCCCAUAUGUGGUUGUUGAUCUUCUUCUUACUGAUUUGUAGGAACUCUUUAUAUAUUGUAGAAUUUGACCCCUAUUGCAUGAAUUUUGAAAAUACUUUUAAUAUAGCAUGUGUCACAUUGUACUGAACUUAAGUCUUUCCAGUUUAUGACAAUAUAAGUUCUUGAAAGCAGAGAGAACAUCUUUUUAUUCAUAAGUGUAUUCUCAAUGCUUCUCUGUGUUUGGUCUAUACAAAGUUGAUUAAACUAAACUGAACUACUUAAAAAAAUCUCGAUACUUUCCAUGGCUUUGUAUUUGCUUUACCUCUGUAUGUAACAUUCUUGCUCUCUAUUGUGUCCCUCUUCUGCAUAAAGCUUCUCUGAUCUUCUCAGGCAUAGCUGUCUGUGAUACUUCUUGUACUUUGUACACACAGUAUGUCACAAACAUUUGCAACAAAAUUUUCUCUUUGUGAAAUUAACCAGGACAAGGCCUUGUCCACUCAUCUCCCCAGUGCUUAGCAUGAUGCCUAGCAUGUAAUUAGUCAUAUUCUCCCUCCCCCACCAGCAAACAAAUUGACCAGAAAUGAUAUACCUGUUCAUCACAAAAGCAUAAUGACAUCAGUACUUCCUUUUUUCCCCUUCCAAUAUCAUACUUUUUUUUUUUUUUAAUUGAUGUAGUUCAAGUUGGAUUAUUUUUCCUAGUACUCUUGACUUAUGGAACACCUGACCCAGGUGUUCAUGUAAAUAUAUUAAGCCAAGUCUCCUCCACUCUGGAUUUGGUAAUUAUUUUAUACAAUUCUACAAAGCACUACAUUUAAAGGAAUACCUCAAGUUUGAUUUAAUCUUGCUUACCUUGUCCUCUGGUUCUAGCGUUUUUAGAUCUUUUAAUUAAACAUUUGGAUUCUUUUGAUUCUUCUUUUUAGUUAUUUGCCCCAAAUUAUGUCCUAAGUAGAUUUUCCUAGGCCUUUUACCUAAGGCUGGCAACCAAAUGAAUUUUUGGAACCGGCCAAUUUAGAUGAGUGAGUACACAAAUCUUUAUUUUAGGUUCUACAUAUGUAACAUGGGAAAAAAUCCCACCUAUGUUAAGAAGCUUGUGGCUUCUGUACAAAAAAAAGGAAGUGCUUGUAUAAUUGGUUGUCCUUGAUCUUUUCCUUACUUAAUUAGUGUAUUUUUCUAUGACUGUACUUUGGAAUGAUAAUUUUUAAAAAAAAAUUUCAAGUGCUUCUGCCUUCCCUGAGAUUUAUUUUAGUCUUUCGUCAUUUUAGGCAGUAGAAGAAUGAAUUUUCCAGGGAUAAUGAUUAAAGAGUUGGUGUAUUUAUUGCUAGUAUAUGUUUUGUAAUGCAUUUCACACAAUUAUAUUUGAAGGGAAUACUUCAACUUGUCAGCUACUUUGCUUCUUCUUCAUAGGAUCUUAACAUAAAUAAUACAGUGCCUUUACUUAUUUUUGAGAUUUCUGUUCUAAAAAUGUUAAUAAUAUUAAUGCAUAUGCUUUGCAUGUGCAUUACAUAAUUUUAUCCUUCCAAUAACUCUGAAGCUAGGGGAGAGGCAGUGCCUUUUGAAGGUCACACAGCAAAUAAAUGUUGGAGCAGGUACAGCAAAACCUUGGUUUGCAACAUAAUUAGUUCUGGAAACAUGCUUGUAAUGCAAAGCACUUGUAUAUCAAAGUGAGUUUCCCCAUAAGAAAUAAUGGAAACUCAGAUCAUUCGUUUCAUGAUCCCAAAAUAUUCAUAUAAAAAUGAUUACAGUACUGUAACAUAAUAUAAAAUAAUAAAAUACAAAAUAUAAAGAAAAGUAAACAAAUUAACUUGCACUUACCUUUGAAAACCUUCCUGGCUAGUGUGAGGGAGACAAGAGAAAGGAGGUUACUGUGUAGGACGACUUUCACUAUCACUAAUGGAAUCACUGAUGUCUGUUAGCUCAGUGGAAUCUUUUUCUGCAUGGGGGCUAUUGUAUACACUCUCACGGAUGUUGACUGUAGUAUGCUAUUAAUAAAGUCUUGUCAUAUACUGUAUUUAACAUAACUGACAAUUAGCAGAGGAAGGGACUAUAUCUGCAGGCAGCCUGACCUAGAAUGAAGCAAAGCAUUCCUGAGCCUACUCUUGUAUGGAAAAGCAAAGGACUGUCCAUAGGUGCUUUGAAGUGACAAGAAAUACACUAAUGUCAGUUGUGGGCACCUUCCAACAUUCUGAAAGAUCACUGAUUUCUGCCAAACAUCGUGGCUUGAGACCAAGCGUCCGAGCAUGGGAGACCAUCACCCCCAAUCCUUCAGUGAGGUGGGAAGGGAGAGAAGAACUGUUGGCUCAGUUGUGAUCUGUGAUCGUGUGACAUUUGCCGUCACAUACUGCUUGUAUUGCAAGAUGUUGCUCAUUUAUCAAGUUAAAAUUUAUUAGAAAUGUCAUGUGGAAUAUUCGUAGAACAAGUUACUUGCAAUCAAAGGUUUUACUGUAUUUAGAUUCCAACAGUCUCAUCUCGAGAUCCUGGGCUUUUCCUACCAUAACACUAAGUUGAAGGACACAUUAGACCAAAUUCAUUAGGUAGUAUCUAUGAAUUGAUAGAAAAUAGGCAUUUGUUUUUGUAUAAAAUAUUAUCACUCCUGGAGGUCAUUUUAGUAGAUUGUCAUUGGCUUUUGUAUAGCACACAAGUGCUAGAGAAAAAUGUGUCAUUUCUGUGGGGCAAGCACUUCUGUUUCCUUUUUAGAAAUACAUAGCCAGGGCACACAAAACAAUGGGGCUAGAGUGUAAACUAGGCCUUACUUGGCCUUACUGACUUAAUCAUGGUGUUACAGGACAAACUAAUCUAAAACAUAAAAGGAAAUGCUGUGAGUUACAUAAAGAAGAUAUUUUUAUUGGACCUUGAGUUUUUCUUUUAAGUUAAAUCUAUGCCAAAAAAAAAAAAAUCUAGUGCUAGCUGUUGUAUAUUCUGCUGGACUUUGUUUUAGAGACUUUGCUUCUUUAUAUUCAUUUUCAUAUUUUUGUCACUAAAGCAAAUAAAGGAAGCCACACAUAGCUAAAGUGAAAGCCACUUCAAGGAGACGUCACAUGAAACAUUUUGAGGAGGGAGUUAUGUGGUUUCAUUGUGACAUUUUAGAUGCAAAUGCAAAUUGUUUUGAGAUCAGAAUUUUUCAUUUACCACUUAGAACUCUGCUGUUCUAUGACGAAUGUUUGGCAGUAGCCUAGUUAACGCUUUUUGAACUGAUGUUGUGAUUAUUUAAAAGAAUGCGUGAUGAUUCAGUUUCUGAAUUUUGAUGCUUCUCUGAGGCAGGUGAUUAAAUACAUUUAUUUCUUUGUUCACAUGAUUGCUAAGCACAUUUCUGAUCCAACAGAACCUGGUUGGACUGAUGUUGAGAAGUCGUUCAGCUGAAGUAGUUACAGGUCACAGGCUCAGAAGAUUUGGCCCUUUGCCUUGAUUCCCUGAGUCUGUAAAUUCAGGGAGCUUUAAUUUCAUCCUGAGACGUCUUGCUUUCCCUUGCUUCAUGACCAACACCUCUAUAUGUGGGAAAAUUUCUUCCCUGCCGGAAUCAGCUUGGGUUCAUAUUUUCUUUUCCUCUCCUUAUCCCCGUGUGGUAUUUUUGUGAACCUUGGACUUCAAAUAUGACCUUUAUUUGGUGGCUGUUUACAGGUGUACAUUAACACAUAGAAGAAAAAUUUUGAAAUACCUACAAUUCUUAAAUAGGAGUACAACUAGGGUGUUUCAUUGACAGUUCUUGUUUUGUUUAUAUAUAUUGAAAUGUAAGGUAUUUUAUGGCCUUGGAAAAACAAAAUAUACAUUACAACUUUUCGGCUGUGUGUGUUUAUCUUAAUCCUUGGCCUAAAACUUGCCUGAAAUAAGCUUUACCUUUUAAGGAAAUUGACACUGAGAUAUGAUUAUGCCUGGUGAAUUAUAGUACACAUAGAUAUUUUGAAUGUUACUGUUAAAGGAAAAAAAUGUCAGGUACGUCUGUAUUUAAAAAAGAGUAUCUAAGUAAAAUAACCAAUGACUAAGCAUUCCAUUUGUGGCUUAUAUGAACAAUGUGAGCAAAUAUGAAAGAAACCUGUAAGAAAUAUGUUUUUUUUUUUAAAUAUCGCUUUCAUUUGUAUCCUAGGAGUGAAAUUAUGAAGUAGAAGAUUAACAUAGGAAGUGCCUCUUUUCAGAAUUCCCCUAUGGUAUAAAUACAACUUCUGAACUCACUUCACUAUUUUUGCCCUUUCUAGAACUAAUGAAGGAGGCUGACAUAUUUGUAGUGUAUUCCAAAUUUCAGAGAUUUUUCUGAUGGAGGAGAGGCGUGUCCCUCGGAAUCACAAUAUUUGAUGACAACUUAAUUGUAAUGGACACAAGCGAGACUCCAUAUUGCCUUGCUUCUACAUAUUCUUAAAAAAUGGAAAUUUGCAUAAAUUGUCUUCAGUGCACACUAUUUUUAAUGAUUUUUCCCUUUCACUCUUAGGCUAAACUAUGUAUUAUGACAUUGUGCACUUCUGUGCAAAGUUUCCAGCUUUAUGAGUUUUUGUGAAUGAUUGCUUUCUGCAGCGAUGAAAUUGUUUCCAAUAAUGGAUAUUUUUAAAUGAUUCUGUAAUCAUAUUAUAAUUAUGUCACAGGUAAUAAAGGUACCGUCUGUUCUUAUUUGAACUUCUGUCCUAUGAAGAGAUAGCACCAGAAGUGAUAUUUUGCUUUUGAUUUGGCAUGUAUUCAAGACACUACUUUCCUCCUGUACUGUUAUCCCCAGCCACUGUUCAGAGAAUUUCGUAAGUGAAGGGAGUGAAGGGGAGGAAAAGCCACGUUACAUGUAGGCAGGGCAAUAGUGAAGCAGUUAGAAAUGGUGUCUGUCUAUAGGUCAUCCUUGGUUGACUUGUAUUGCAAUGCAGGGAGCCUUUUUAUGCAUUUAUCUCCGGACAUGGCAUUCUGGAGAGCUCAGCACAUGCUACUUGUUGCUGUUUCUGAUGGAAUCUAGAAAGAGGUCAUAGAAAGGACUGGGAUGGCAGGGUGAUGGCAGACCCUCUUCGGUCUUCACAGACCCACCUGUUUCUGCUUUAGAAACAUUUUACCGUUCUUUUUGCGUCUCUUUAAAUUGAUCCAUUGGGUUAAAAUUACAUUUAUCUUUAAACUUGACCUGAAUGGUGUCAGCUAUUUUUUUUUUAAUUUAAUGUUUAUGCAUUUCUGAGAGAGAGAGAGAGAGAGAGAGAGAGAGAGAGAGAGAGAGAGAGAGAGAGAGAGAGAGAGCGCACAAGCUGGGGAGGGGCAGAGAGAGAGGGGGAGACACAGAAUCCAAAGCAGGCUCCAGGCUCUGAGCUGUCAGCACAGAACCUGAUGGUGGGGGGGCUCGAACUCGUGAACCCUGAGAUCAUGACCGGAGCCGACUUUGGGCACUUAACUGACUGAGCCACCCAGUAGCCCCUAGUUGUUGUUGUUGUUUUUCCUUUUUAAAAAGAUGCUGUUUCCUUUCAUCCUUGUAGUCAUCCUUGUGAGGUAGUUAAGUAGUUAAUAUGGCAGCCCGUUCCACUGAAGAGGAGACUGUGCGUCAGAGAACUUAUUUCUUGAUCCUCACAGAGCUAAUCAGUAGUGAAGCUGAGAUCCAAAACCAGAACAUUUAAAAAUUAUUUUGAAGAAUUUUCAAGCAUACAUAAAAGUUGAGAGAAGGGAGCAAAAAACCUCCAUGUACCUAUCCCCUAGUUCAAGCAUUGAGGUACCAAAUUUCACAACAUUUGGCUUAUCUAUACCUUUUUGCUUUUUCUUUCCUGAAGUAUUUUAAAGCUGAUCCCAGAUAAUUGCGUUCUCGCUAGUGCACAUUUCAACUCUAGAGCAAACGUUUCAUUUCUGUACCAAAUGCUCUAGGUAUAGGAGAGAAUGACAUAAUACAAAGACUGUGUAGAGGCCCUACUUUUAUCCAGAAGACAAGUUAUAUAUCUGUGUUCAGUGUUUUUGAUAUGGGUGGUCAUCAUUUACUACUCAUUUAUUAAUAAGCUAGGGAUGAAACAGGUGAUACUUAUUGAGUCCUGAUUCUGGGCUAGGAGCAGCCCUUCAUGUCUCAUGCAUAUUAGCUCAUUUAGUUCACGGGAGCCCCGUGUUACAUAAUCAUUUCCUGUGGGUUCAAGUUGCUUUUUAAAAUUAAUUAUCUUGGGGUGCCUGGGUGGCUCGGUCAGUUAAGCGUCUGACUUCGGCUCAGGUCAUGAUCUCACGGCCCGUGAGCUCGAGCCCCGCGUCGGGCUCUGUGCUGACGGCUCGGAGCCUGGAGCCUGUUUCAGAUUCUGUGUCUCCCUCUCUCUCUGCCCCUCCCCUGUUCAUGCUCUGUCUCUCUCUGUCUCAAAAAUAAAUAAACAUUAAAAAAAAUAAAAAAAAAUAGAAUUAAUUAUCUUUGUACAUAGAAGUAAAAUAUACUACAUUGCCUUAAAUUGUAACAUCUUCUCUACUCCUUCUUACCUUUAAUACUAAUUAUAACAAUGUAUUAAUGGAGAGCUAGCUGAUGCUCAAAAGUGUGGUCCAUAGACCAGUAGCAUCUGCAUUGCCUGGGAGCGUCUCAGGCCAAACCCCAGAACUUUUGAAUUAGAAUCUGCAUUUUGAAUAAGAUCCUUAGCUGAUGUAUAUGUAUAUUAAGCUUGACAAGCCCUAGGUGGCACUUAAAUAGUGCCUCCCAAGUGUGACUGCACAUGUCAGUCACCUGGAAAACUUUUAAAGCUAUCAGUGCUCAGUCCUAUCCCUGACCAAUUGAAUGAGAUUCUCUAGGUGAGGGCCUGGUGUCACUGUUUAAAAAAGUCUCCCAGGUGACUCUUAAGUUGUUAGGCCAGGCUUUAAAAUGCCCUGGUUUAAUAGAACUAGAGUAUCUUUCCAUUGUGUUUCAGCUACUUUGAACAAAAAAUUUCAUCUUGCAAAUCAUGUAUUGAAAAUGAUACCCUCGAUAUAGAUGAGAAUUGAAGAUAAAAGAAAUUCUGGGCUUAUACUUAAUAACUUAAUGUUCUUAAUAACAGUAUUACUAUUAGAAAUAUUGCAUACCUAAAGAGAAAAGGUGGCCUAUAAAUGAAAGCAUAGACCCUUGUCCUAAUGUUUUCAACAUUUGAGAGAUUCUUUAGGUUAAAACGAGAUUUUUGUUCAGGAAAAUUGGGUCUCUGAUUAGAUCAGGGACACAAGAUGUUCAGACAUAUAUUCUGACUCCAUUUGUUCCUUAUUAUGUUGGGUAAAUGGGUUAAUCAGCCUACCUUUGAUGGAAAGGGGGAACAGAUAACACUUAUCACACGGACACAAUUAACCUUAGUUUGUUGAAAUACCUUAAAUUCCUUGAAUACGAGGCACUGAAGAAAGUCAAAUUUUCGUCUUUAAAGUAAUUGCUUUCCCAAGCCCUGUAGUAGCACGUUUGCGUAUUUUUAAAGCUACUCAUUAGAUUAGUAGCAUUUUAUGGUUUGGCUUCAUCGGAGGAGUGGCUUUAGACGUGGAGGAAAUGUGGCAGACAGAUUAGGAGACCAGCACAGUAGGCCUGGAGACACUGGAAUAUUAGAACCAUCAAAUGUGGAUACUUCAAGGGAGCGAAAGAUUACAUUUUAGCCCAGUGCCUUUAUUUCACAGAUGACUGAAUUGUGGCAGAAUUGUGAGUUUUUAGGGUCUUAGAGAGAAAUGCAUGUUCCAUUUUUAUUUAUUUUUGAUAGUUUUUCGUUAAUCAAAUACAUCGUGUGCUUAUAUGUACACACGUAUGACAAGUGUACCAAAAAUAAUGUAACAGCAACAUUGAAAUUGUUCUACAAUAAAAUGUUUUUGUAUCUUUUUGUAUCUCUUUCUUCAAAGUUGUGAUAUCAACUAAAUAUGUUCUUUAUCUCAUGCAUUUGGAAUAGACUACGGUAUCUAUUUCUUAUGGGCAAGAUUAGGCAUGUUUUUGUUGGCCUGGGAAAAGUUGCUAUGUGAAGAGAGUGACUGUUAUAUUAUUUAUUUAACAUUUAACCUGAAAGUCAAAAUGUGUUCAAAAGAGCUCAUUUGACAAGGGUUCUGAGUCAGAAGUAUUAAAGGACAAAUGAAACAAGGAUUUCUUAUUCUUAAUCAGGGUUGGGGGAAAGGGCCAACCUUCUGCAGGGGAAAUGACUAUAAAUGGGCUUUGCAGUUAAGACAUCCUCUGUUGCAACAGCUGCCUUUCUGGUUGGCCUGGUUUUCCCCUUUCUUCACAGAGUAUUGCUGCUAAAAACACCUUUCUGUUGGCACUUGAACUCUGCCAUUUGACUCUUCAAUUUUCUCUUGUUUCCUGCAUGAAAUUACAUUUUCUUGCUUUGACUUGUGAAGCUUUGUGCAGCCUUGGAAGCAAGCUGCUUGCCUUUGUUUUCAUUUUGCUAUUCCCAUCUUGGGGGCUAGCUCACUAGUACUUGGUAUCCUUGGAAGGGUUCCCUCAUUUUCACGCCAGAUGACAACAACAAAUGAUCCCAGCUCCUUGGUCCUUUUAUAGCUAGCUUCUUUGCGAAGAAAAUUUAGAGAAAGAAAAUUAAAAAUAAAUUGUAUUCAACACUGAAGAUAGAAUGACAUUCACUCCCACUGAUGGACUUUUUGGUCCCUGCUGAUAUUUUUAAGCCCGUAGGCUAAGGAUUGUUUUUCCUUGCUUUAGUGAUGUAAUUAAUAAUGCUGCCAAAGUAACACCCAACACUCAUUUACCUAUGAAAUACUCUUGUGUGUGUGUUUUUUUUUCCAAAUAAAUACAUCUGGUUUCUGAACUAUACUUUUUUUUUUAAUGUAAUUAUUUUAAGUCAGUUGUACUAACAGAUUCGUGUUUCUGCUUUUUUAAUUCCAAGUGAUAAAUGCAUAAAAAGGAAAUGUGUGUGGACAUGUCUAUCUCCGUAACUGUGCUGUCCUGGGUUUGUUUAUAGGCAUUAUCAUUUGUAACAUAUGGGUGAGAAAACGGAAUCACAGUUUUGGAUCGCAAGGAUCACUGGUGGACAUAGAAGACCAAUCAUGUGUACUGUAUAAGAGUCGUUUUGAUAGCAAAUAACAUAAAUCUCAUUAAAAUAGCUUGUCUUAUAAUUGGAAGUCCAAGGGAUGGAUUUGGCUUCCACACACAUUGGGAUUCUCCUCCUUACCCCUCUGUGAUGCUUUCCUCUUCACUGGCUUUAAAAGGAUGCAGGCGUUUUCUAUGUUGGAGGAAAGAUACCCACCAGGAAAUCCAGACUUAUAUGGUCUUUCACUAGAGAAUGCAGAAUAAGCCUGAUCCAGCAUAUAUCAAAAUCCAUAUGCUCCCUCAAAAAAGAUUCUGAUGAGAUCCUAUGCCUGUCCCCUUUGGAUCAGUCUUUGUGUCCAUGUCUGCCUAUUUAUGAAGUAAUGGCAGUCCAAUUAUAAAUUAGAAUAUUGCUUGUUGACCCCAAGAUUAGAAUGAAGGAAUAGCUGUGACGUGUUAUGUUUUGGUCAAGUUCUUGUAGCCUGAAACAUUGUCUUUUUUCCACUAAAUGUAUAUUUCUUUCCAAGGAUCAUGACCAGUCACGUAGAAUCUGAGCCCUCUCCACUGCAGGAAACACAGUGAAAAUCUUUUUCUAAAUACGACAUUGAAGAUAUUCUGUGGCAGUGCUGAUCUGUUUUUGAAACAUCUUCGUUUAGCACCUUUACUGUUUUAAUAUCAAUAAACUUUGUAAGUGAAGAAGUUUUAAUUGAUUACCUUUCAGGGUAGCUUUUUUGGGAAUAUCUAUAUGAUUCCAUAUAAGGGAAUGCCUCCCUGAUACUAAUGUAUAAUCUCAAGUGUAAACUUUUUAAAUCACAUUUGGAAUAGGUUACUUUUGGGUUUGUUUUUUUAUGUACUACAAAUACUGUAUGUGUAAAUUUUCAGUAGUUUCUGUAAGACAGAAUACUAUUUCCUGAUCGUGUUCUUAGGUUUGAUGGUUUUUGUGUAGUUUUGAAAAAAAAAAAGACUAGUUCACACAACUUGUAGCUGGUCUAGAAAUUUGUUGAAAUUAAUGAAUACUAAAUGGAUGCUUAUGAGUGUGUGUUACUCUUACAUGGGGCGCCCCUACUAAUUAGCCUUUCCUUGGAGACAUGCCAAAUAGCUAAAUAUCAGUGGGCAGACUAUCACCUUAGUCACUUUUUAAAUAACAUAUCAUUAGCUUUUAAAAAUGAUAAUGUAAUUUGUUCCUCAUUCUUUUUAAGGAAAACCCAUUAUUGAAGGAGGGUAAGAAAACUUUCUCUUCUGGUCUUCCUUUUUAAGUCAGGCAACUUUUUUCAAUCCAAUAUUGUUCUGAGACAGAAUUCUUUGCUUACAAAAGCUUAGUAGUUCAUAAGUUCUCUCAGUGUGUGUCUGCUUUCAAAAUAAUUUUUCUUUUUUCAUUAUGUUCUCAUUUGCUACCGUGUGUGUGUGUGUGUGUGUGUGUGUGUGGUUGUGUGUGUGUUUGUUUUACUUUUCAGGCAAGAGAUUGCUUGUCAGCAGACAGGGACCUAGAAUACAUUGAGAGAUGUGGAAGCAUGUGUAGAAAAAAUUAGCAAUAUAGAGGUUUUAGAAAAAGUGAGAAUCUCCAAACAAGUUAUUGUGCAUUUCUUAGAUUUUAGGUCCUUCCAUGCAAAGUUGCAUGCAAGUGGUAAUGUCUAGUGGACAGAACUUUGGACUAUUAGAAUUCUUUGGGAGUUUAUAGUGGGUUUUAUAUUCCUACUGAAAACAGAACAUGCUGACUAUUAAGUUAUACUCAAGCAUAAGGUCUUAGACCCUAACUUUAAGAGCACUAUCAAAUCUUAAACUGUCUUCUAAUGACUCUGUUGCUGGAAGACAUCUAUUAUAUUUCCCUUCUUGGCAUCUACUUCAUAAACUUGUGUUACUGUUGGGUACUGAAUAUACAAACAGAGCAAUUACUGCUGUAUAUAUACACAACCCUAAAAAUAAAAUUUUUAUAAGCCUAGUAAUUUUAAGAAAGCUCUGAGGUUAAUGAUUUAUUUUAAGAUUGGUUGGGUAAGUAUGAUGCCUACCUUUUACCAAGGUUGCCUAAAUCUAAGCACAUCAUUAAUGAAGCCUAUUUGCUCACCACUUCCAUGAUUCCUUUCAAAAAUAUUUCAUUAUAUAAGGAUUUUCUUUCAGGGAAAAUUAUUUUUACACUAAAAAAAUAUUUAAUAGUUGAAAUUCCUUUUCUUAAGUAUGUUGUAAACUUAUUUAAGAGGAAUAAUUUAGGGGCGCUGGGGUGGCUCAGUAGGUUAAGAGCCCAGCUCUUAGUUUCGCCUCGGGUCAUGAUCUCACGGUUUGUGAGUUCAAGCCCCACAUCAGGCUCUGCACAGACAGUGUGGAGCCUGCUUGGGAUUCUCUUUCUCGUCCUCUGUCUCUGCCCCUCCUGCACUCUCUCUCUCUCAAUCUCUCUCCAAAUAAAUAAAUAAACUUAAAAAAAAAUUAGUUGGGACUGCGGUUUUCUGAAGCCAGGCCCUUAUAAACAGAUGGUAGUAGGUUACUUCAGUAGUUGAAAUGUUUUCAUCCCAUUCCAUGGUUUAAAUUUUUCUGAAUCCAUUUCUUACAAAUACAAAUUCAAUAUUCUAAAGCAUGCAUGUAUGCUAUUACGUUUAGUGGGUGAUUUACAUUCCAAAAUGGCUUUGAUGUGUUAUUUACCUACAAUACGCUUAUAUUGGAAAGUGUGAAAUGGUAAUAGGUAACACUUGUUGAGUAGUUAUAUGUAUCGAAUAUUAUUCCAACCUAUUUUUCAUGGAGUAAUUUUAUUUUCAGAACAACUGUAAGAGGUAGGUACUGUUAUUAUCCCCAUUUUACAGAUAAAGAAAUUGAGUCACUUGGCCAAUGCCACACAGUUUGUAAAUGUUGACAUUGAGAUCUUAACUUAGAGACUGUGGUUCCAAAGCCCAAUGUCUGACUAUUAUACAUCAUGCCUCUCAAAGGAGUGUGAGAAUACUGGAUUGCCAUCAAGGAUAUUAUCAGGUGGACCAAAAUCAGUUGAUUAAGAUUUUCUGAUUUUGAAAAAAGUGGAUAAAUAAUAUUUCCAGUAUCCAAAUAAUAUUUGAUAUGGUGAGUAAUAUCAUUAUAUCAUGUAUAUUUCAAUAUGAUGGUAUUUCUGUGUUUAAUUUUGAGCCACAAUCCUUGGAAAUCUAUUGUAAAGAAUGACAAAAUACGCUUACAUUUUAGCAUAGAAUGGAACUGUAUAAAGAGAAUUGUAGAGGCAGGGAAGAUUUGGUCUAGCAUUUUAAGAUUGUGGUGAUAUAGGGGAAUUCAUUUAUCUGCUAACUUUUCACAAAUACAUGAAAUUUAAGGAAAAAUUUUACUGUCUUGAUUGUGGAUUGAAUUAGUAGAGAGUACAUCACCUUACAAUUAAAGGAGUUGAAGGGUUGUGUGUGUAUGCUUGUGUGCAUGUAUGUGCUGGGAAUGCUGGGACACACAGCCCUGGGACCAUGUUUAAGAGACAACCCAUGAUCUAGUUUUAUUUCACUGAGGACUGUUUGGCUGGCUCUGUUUCCCUGAGUGCAGCCAGACUGAUUAUAGAAAGUGAUUGUGGGAAGUCAGGAAGGUUUCUGAGACAGGAGAUGGUAGGGUAAAUGCCACGAGGAGUGGAACAUUAAGGAAAAAAUAUUUACAGAGAAUUUCAAAGACAUUUGUUGUAUGUGAAAUGACUCCUUUUUCUAUCUUCCCAGAAAACUUUUUGGGGGCACCUGGGUGGCUCAGUUUUUGAACACCUGACUCUAGGGUCAGGUCAUGAUCUCUAGGUUUGUGAGUUUUAGUCCCAUUCAGGUUCUGUGAGAGCUUAGAGCCUGCUUGGAAUUCUCUCUCUCUCUCUCUCUCUCUCUCUCUCUCUCUCUCUCUCUCUCUCUCUCUUUCUCUCUCCCCCCCCCCCCCCGUUUCUUUCUCUAGCACCUUCUCUCUCUGCCCCUCACCCAUUCACUCACUGCCUCUCAAAAUAAAUAAAUACACUUAAAAAAGUGAUUUGGGGGAGGGGGGUUAGUGCUCUUGAAGUUAUGUUUGUGAUUUUCCCAAAUGCUUCAUCAUCAGGGACUAAGGAAGUGCACUCACAUUCAAGUUUCAGAUGUACAAAUUUCCUGAUAAUGUUUUUAAAUAGUAAUGUAACAGUAACAUGUUUGAGGAUAGUUGUAAAUCUGUAUGAGUGCUUGGGUCUAGAUGCUUCAAUUAUUGAAGCACCUUUCAGUUUCGAUUCCGUAUCAACAUUUGCAUUUUCUUCUAUGUUCUCUAGUUGGUUAUUUGUUCACAACCUCUGGAUGUGAGAAGAAUUUUAGACUAUGAGGGACCAUUUAAAUCCAUGACACACUCACUUGGUAGAAUUUGUCAUCUAAUCCAGUGUUCUGUAUUCUAACCAGGGAAAAGAUUUCUUUUGUCCCUAGUUUCCUCCAAAUAUUCAUUAUUACCUUCCAUUCUAGUAAUAAUGAAACUCUGGUUUUUAGUUGAGCAUCUUGCUGCCCAGCCAAAAAACACAUCUCCCAGUCUCCUUUUUAGUUAGGUGAGUGCAUGAGACUAAGUUCUCUCUAGUAGGAAGAAGUUGGAGUAUUGAGUGUUGCUCUGAGAUACACCCUUAAAAAGAGGGGUAACGCAUCCCCCCCGCACCCCCAUUCCUCAUCCUGCUUCCUGGAACUCAGCUGUAAUGGCUGGAGCUCUGACAGCCAUUUGGGAUGAGAAUCAUACUCUAGAGAAUACCGAGUAGUGAGCUGAAAGGAGUCUGGGUCCUUGAUGACUUUGUGGAAUUGCCAUUACUAAGUCUGGAUUACCCAGUUUGAUUUAUUUGCUAUGAGAGAGACUUCAACUUCUAUCUUAUUUAAGUCAUUGUUAUUUUGGGUUUGUCACAUGCAGCUGAAUCUAAUUCUAGCACAUAUAAUUCCCUUUCCAUACAAAAAAGUCAGUGAAUAGGAUCUUUUUUGGAUACUUUAUUAGCUUUAUUCUCAUGGGCAUAUUUCUGCAUCCUAAAUGAGAGCCUCUGAUUCCCACAUCUUAAUGUUAGUGAAUAAUCAGAAGCAGCAACGUACAUAUAAGGAGAAGAGCAUGAACUCGACUUCAAAUUCUAAUUGUGUGAUCUUACGUUAAUUAUUUAACCACAUUGACAGUUUCCUUUCCUGUAAAGCUAAGGUUGUAGUGUUUUUCCAAAGAUUAUUAUUGAAUAAAAUAUAAAUACUUAGCUCAAAAUUUAGCACACACAGUUGUUAAUCCCUAUUAUUCCAUUAUAUUAACGAUCUGAGAUCAUUUCAAAUGGCAUUCUCCUCUAAUGGCAUUGAGGAAAUUAAGAAGGCAGAAAAUGGAACAUGUUGAGGUUAUUAGGAAAAAAAUGAAGGAAACUUACACCAGUAGAAGGGUCUCCACUAAAGGAUGGUCAUAGAAGCCUACAGACAAAAAGGUGAUAGAUAACAAGAAUUCAGCAGGAUGUGAAACAAAAAUUGGCUUUUUAGGACUCAGUAUUUCUGUCUUAAGGCUAAUUUUGGGAUUUAUAGAUGGAGAAUAGUCACUUAAUGAUAUAAGUGAAUAAUUCUCUCACUAAGUAGGAUUGCGAGGUUUAAAUGAGAAAUCAAAUGAAGAACUAAGUUGUUUCUAAUUAUUAAAAAAAAAAAACACAAAAUACAGCUGACCCAUGAACAGUGCAGGGGUUAGGAGUGCUGACCUACCACGUGGUCAAAAUUGGCAAAUAGGGGUAUCUGGGUGGCUCAGUUGGUUGAGCAUCUAACUUCCGCUCAGGUCGUGAUCUCACAGUCUGUGAGUUCAAGCCCCAUGUUGAGCUCUGUGCUGACAGCUCAGAGACUGGAGCCUGCUUCGGAUUCUGUGUCUCCCUCUCCUCUCUGCCCUUCCCCCAGUCAGGCUUUCCCUCUGUCUCUCUCUCUCAAAUAAAUAAAUAAAUAAAUAAAUAAAUAAAUAAACUUAAAAUAAUUUAAAAAAAAUCGGCAAAUAACUUUUACUCCCCCAAAACUUAACUCCUAAUAGCCUAGUGUUGAUCGGAAUCCUAAGAACAUAAAUAGUCUAUUACCACAUAUUUUGUGUGUCAUAUAUAUUACAUACUGUGUUCUCAUAAUAAAGUAAGCUAGAGAAAAAAAUGUCCCUAAGAAAGUCAUAAGGACUAUAAACUAUAUUUAUAGUCCUGUACUGUAUUUAUUGAAAAAAAAUCCACGUAUAAGUGGACCCAUGCAUUUCACACCUGGGUUGUUCAAGGGCCAACUGUGUAUUGUCCUGCUGCAGAGAAGUUUUUAUAAAAGAGGAGUAAGCAAUGACCCUUAUAAUGGAGGGAGGUGGCCAUUCAGAUAACUUAAAGAAAUAGAUCGGAGGAAUAUUUGUAUUUUGCUUCUAAUCUCUUGUUUGUGGUUCAAGUGAAAAAUGUAGAAAGCAUGUCCUAGGGAUUAUUUUUAUUCUCUUACAGUCUAUUGAGUUAGAUAUUUUUUAUUAAAAUAUUUAAAAUGAUAAAUGGUGGCAAAGGUAUUAUAAUGCCAUUCCAUGUAGUUUUCCCAGCAGAGCAACAAGCAACGUACGAGCUACCAUUUUGAAAAUGAGAUCUUUUGGUCACUUGGCUGGUAAUAUCUUCCUAAUUAAAACGUGAUACAUUAGAAGCCUAAUUGCAAAACUCAUUCUUUGAAGUCAACAUAUGUUGAAGUAUGCACGGUAGUGUUGUUGAUACAAUGGUUGGAUAGUGUAAUGCAAACGUAUUUUCGCAAAUAUCUGAUUCCCUUCAGCUUCUGGAUUGUGUCCCAGUUUUAAAUGUAGGGUAGAUGAUGAAAUUGCUGGGCAUUAAAUGCAUGUAAAAAUUGCAAAUGCAUUCUAUUUUUCUCUUACAAUUACUUGACAGCCUCAGACUACUUUUUCCUGUUGGACAGUAAUGACUCUAUUCUCCUAGUGUUUAUUCCUCAAGUGAAGUGCUUCUUAGAAUAGGAUCAGUUCUGCCACUUUUCGUGUGUUCAUUAAUCAGCUCCAGUUGACAUUUAAUUAUUCCAACCUUCAUAUUCACAGCCAUUUAAAAGUUAAGUUUAAUAGAGUUUUAAAAAGUCCAAACACGGUGUGUCUUAUUUAAUUUUAUUUUCACUUAAAAUUCUAUUACCAAAAAAGCCAGCAUAGCCAUUUGCUUAUCAUAAAUCAUGCCUUCUUUUAGGAAUUUUAAAGGUCUGUUUAAUGGGACUCCUGAGUAGACAGCUGUACAGUCUGACUUACCUUAGAUCCAAAACAUUUCAGAUGUAGGGUUCUACCAACACGAGUGCUGAUCUCCACACGUAUUGAAAGAGGUUGGUUAGGGCUGGGAUGCUGUCUUGCAACACAAAACAGAACAUAAACUGAAAUUAAGACAGUCUUGUAUAAAAUCUCCAUGUCUGCCAUGUUGGCAGAUGUCAGCUGUACAAAUAAGAACAUUAAUUUGGAACUUCUGAAAAUGACCCUUCUGACAUGUAAUGCAUCUUGGACAAGAAGAUGAUUCUCCUAUUGCUUUAAGUCAGAAUCUCAUUGGUAUGUCCCAGAGAUUAAUUCUAUAUAUUGGAUCCUCUAAGAACUCAGAAUAUCUUGGUAUUAAAAGCUAAAAGAUAUUUAUAAUAGAAAAAAUGAAUUUCCACUCAUCUGAUCUUUUGUAAAUAAAUGAUGUAGCUUCAGGAAAAUGCAAGAAUUUGAAAGGUCUAGGGUGAAGGAUUUAGUUAGAUAGGAAGAGAAGGAAAGGAGAAAUAAACUUUUGAAAAUGUAUUGAAAUAACUUGCCUUAUAUUUUGGUUUACAUUUCCAAAGCUCUUUUUGUGCAUUCCUUUUGUCUUUUGUAUCCAAAAUGUUAAUAUGUCAAGGACAUUGUUUUUUGUUUUUUGUUUUUUUUGUCCUGUGACUGUCUUUUUAAUGUUUGUAAUGUUGUUGCCUGGUACAGUGCUGGGCAGAAAGCUCUUAUGCUCACUUGUUACAUGUGUUGAUUGUCUUUUAUGCAUUCUGUUCUUUGUUAUUUGUCCCUGUAGUACUAAUCUACACAGUGUCUUUUUAAAAGCUGUAAUUAAAGAUUACUUGAAAUUCCUUCAGAAAAUGCAGCUUAAUUUUUCCAAACAAAAUUUUACCAGAGGUAUUUUUUUUUUUUUUCAUUUCAUACAAACUCUCUGUACAUUAAUUAAGUGAAUGGUCGUUCAUCCAAUAUAACAACAAAAUAAUUCAUAAAUUUUAGUUCUAUAAUAAUGUAAAAAUAGAAUUGUAGAUAACUUUAUUUCAGACAUUUGCUUUUCCUUUUUAGAUAAAAUCUCUUCUCUAGGGUGAAUUCUUUUAUUAACUGUUUAUUCACUAGAUGAUAUUUGAUAAGUUCUAUAUUUCUUUUGUAUGUCUCAUAUCACAUAAGUUUAAGUUAUAAGUAUAAACUUACCAUGAAAAUGAAAUUGAAUUAUAAAGAUCCAUGUUACAUAAUUGCAAUUUUUGCAUUACACGUAAGUAUGCUGUAUAGAUGUUUAUCUCCUUUAUCAUGUGUUUAAUUCAAGAGUGUAGUUUAAAUCAAAAUUCUGUGUGAUCAUUUUAUACUUUUCUCAUUCACUUCUGCUUAUCUUUUUUACCUGCUUAUAGAUGAAAUGAGAUGGUAGCUGUGUGAGCUACCGAGAAUGGUUGGUAGAUUAGGCAUUCAUUAAGUGUCAGCUAUUAUUUUAAUAUUUUAAUGUCAUGUAGUGAUAUAUAUAAAUCUAAUGUAAAUAUAAUAUAAAUAUAAAUAAAUAUAAAUAUAUAUAACAAAGCACAGUGUCUUGUUACACCCUAGGCACCCAACAAACUAAUUUUCUUUCUCCUAAGACAGAGAAGAAAAACAUGACAGGGAUAUAAUACAGCAAAAUUAAAUACACAGCACUGUACUUUCAUAAUUUUAAAAAAGCAUACACUGAUCUCUUAGAAUUUUAGCUAUACUUGGAUUCAUUGGCAAAUAUGAAAUCCUGAAUUGAUGGAUUGUCUGUUUCAUUUCUAUGGUUUAUUUAACAUAGUGAGAAUUGACUAAUUCUUGAUUUUUAAAUGAGUCUCCUUUCAUAAAACUUAAUUUUUUUUGGUGAUUUUAAUCUUUGCUUAAAAAAAGAUUUUAGCAUUUCUCACUAUUCCAUUUAGUUUUAAUUAAAUUUUCUAGUCAUGUCUUUAGGAUGAUGAAUUUCAAGUAAUUUGCUGUUCCAUCUCAAACACAUUAAUAUGAAUUGUAUCUUGCCAAGUAAAUUUAUAACUUCUAUUUAUUCCAUCAAGAUCCAUGAUUCAAAAAUGUUUAGGCAUGCUUUCACUGUGCUGAAUUUUGUCAUAGACUUUAUAUAUUAUUCCCAAGUAGUUUUGUUUGAUUGAAGUAAAUCAUGUUAAUUUCAAAAUCAAACACAAAUCCCUUUUUUCUUUCAAAAUAGAGUUCUGUAGUUACUUUCGUUAUUAUUCUUGCAGGACAAGUAUCACCUGUUUGAAAAAGUUUGAGGGCUUGUGUGAUUACAUUAAUUCCAUGAGCUAAGUUGAUCAGUAUUAAAAUAUAGCCUAAUGGUCCUCUUUAUUGGCUACUGAGAAUUUUUUUUUUUAAUUUAAGCCACUGAGAAUUUUUUUUAAUUUAAGGCUAUUUUUAUUUUUGUAGAUUGUAAUAAUUGUGAGAGAUUUAAAAAGCCUUGGCCGUGAAAAACAAACUACUAUGUAGAAAAACAGGAAGUUAGUCAGGGAAAGCUUUUCUUACUUAUACAAAUAAAAUUAUCGGUAAUGCUGCAGUUGAAGUGCAACCGGCAUACUUUAGUUAAACUGAAUAAUUGUUAGGUAGGUGAUUUGAUAAUUCAUUGAGUUUCAUCACUGUGCUUAGCAAAUCUUUAUAUAUUGAUCUUUUCAUAUAGAACGUGGAAUACAGAACUAACGUGUUUGGGUCUAUUGACUCUUUAGGAUAAGUUGAUAAAUGCAUGCUUAUAAAAUAGAGAAAUAUAUAGCAUACUUUUUAAAUUAUUUUUUCUCAUGAGAUCAGUGUAAGAAUAUUCUAUAGAAACACUCGAUUUUAUCACUCCUUAGAGAAUAUAUCUCUUUUGGUUAAUUCUGACUGCUAGCCAUCCUUGUGUAGGCUACAAAGCAAAUUAAUCAGUAGAAUAUGGUGUAUUCUUGUGCAGGUACAUCUGGAUUUCUUUUUAAAAAGUAUACGGUUGGAAUUUUCCCAGGGCCCUACAUGGCGUGUGUGUGUGUGUGUGUGUGUCUGUGUGUGUGUGUGUGUGUAAUAUGGCUUUAUUUUACUUUUAGGCAGGGCCACGUUUCUUUCUUUGUAGUUAGUGUUUCAGUUUGCCACAUGUAAGAAAGUUUUCCCUGAGCCCUAGAACAAGAUGAAGAUUAUGGGACUGUGAAGUAUCUUUCCCUCUGCUUCCCAACAUUUUGCCUUUUGAGUUUCAAGUGUUUAUAUGAAACCUAUAUCGCAACAUAACUACUUCAGAGCCAGGCUGCCCCUAUUUCAGAAGGAUUAUGUUUCUUCUAUUCUAUUAUUUAUGUAUUUUUGUCAAGUCGGAAGCUUUGUCAUUUUAUAACAUCCCUAGGAAUAAAGCCCCUUACAACUGGAAGCCACAGGAAGUACCAAGAUGACACCUGACGUGUGCUCUCUUUUUCCCUUUCUGUUUCCUUGGCUUUUAUAAAUCAUAGAUGACAAAGGCCUUGCUCUCAAAGUGCAGAAAGGGAAUGGUAGAGGAAGGUGGGGGCAGGGCUGGGACAGCUCUUUAUAUUAAACCCUGGAUUUCUUUUAGUAGGAAAUAACUUCAGUCUCAUAUGUGUUGGUGAAUAAAAUUUCACAUUUCAGAAAGUAUGCUUGAAUUGAAUAAUGAAGUGUUUGGUGACUAUAAAAUUUUUACUAGUAAUUUUUUUUUUGUUAAAAAUAAUUCUGAAAUAGUACAUUCAGGGGGAUUUUGUGAACAUUCCAUAUGCCAGGUAUCAGGAUAACAACUGUAGGCAGGUACACUGUACCUGUGAUACAGUUAUAAUAACACAACACAUUAGACAGUUUUCCCCUGCCAGUUUCAAAAUCUAGAAUUACUUUGGCUCAGGUAAAGUCAUCUUGGAAGAAAAUAGUAUUUUAAAAUCCCAUGUACGUAGCAUGAAGAAUUUUUGAAUAUGAAACAUAUAUAAAAAUGUUAAUAAAUUACUUUUAAUUUCUCAUUCCAGGCCAGGCUUCAAGUGUAUGAAUCUUUACGAGCACAAAAAGGAGUCCUCGUAACUGUAGACAUGAGUCAUUACAAGAUGUAUUGUUAAGUUAUUUGGGACACACCCAGUAGAUGAAAAGGCUAAAAAAUAUGUAAGAUGUAAUUAGGAAAUUCUCCCUUGAUGACUCAGUUACCAUUGUUCUUUCUUUAUCAUUAAUUAUUUUGGGAUAACAGAUUCAAUAGAUUCAUAGUAAGAAUUCGUAUUAUGAAUCAGCAGUUUGUGUCAUUUAAUGAAAGCAAACUUAGCAUAGAAUUGGAAUACAUAUAACUAAGAUAUUUAAAGAAAAGAAGUAUACCUUUGCUUUUUUUUAAUUUUUUUUUCAACGUUUAUUUAUUUUUGGGACAGAGAGAGACAGAGCAUGAACGGGGGAGGGGCAGAGAGAGAGGGAGACACACAAUCGGAAACAGGCUCCAGGCUCUGAGCCAUCAGCCCAGAGCCGGACGCGGGGCUCGAACUCACGGACCGCGAGAUCGUGACCUGAGCUGAAGUCGGACGCUUAACCGACUGCACCACCCGGGCGCCCCAAGAAGUAUACCUUUAAGAAUGCAGUAAAUGCUUCAGUUGUAACCUCAUCGGUUACUCUGGUCUGGGAAAAAAACAUUGAGUAUAGUACUUGGUCCAAAGAAAGGCUUCACCUACUAGGCAGUGAGUGUCCAAGUGUCAGCCACAAGGUACAUCUGGUAGACUUAAACAUAUAGAGGAAAUUCCAACCAAAAAAAUGUCGCAUAGUUGACCACGUUUUAUCACUGGAACGGUUAUAACCACAUUUGAUAAUCAAGAUGGUAACUGUUUGUCACAUAAUCUAGACAAGCCAUUUGUCAGGAGAAAAUGUUUGUAGGGAGUUAGCAUCUCUAUCUGUGGGCAUUAGAGCUGGACUUUUAAAGAAGGUUCAUUUUCAGCUGGUAAGUCAGCUAACCAUGGUGGCCUAGCUGGUUUUCUAGGUUGGUGCUGCCAGACUACAUUCUCAGAAUUGUUUCGCAGAGGUAAAAGCCCCCAAACACUGGAAAUAUGGCAAUUAUUCAUCCUCAUUUCAACAUACUCUCUGUUCACGUUCCCACGGGGCAGGAAAAGUGAAGCCGUAAUCACAACAUUGACUGGGGUAAAAGUUUACAAGGCAGACGUUCUCUACCCUCAGACGGUCUUGUUUUCCACAGAAUGUGGGGUCAUUUGUAGAAAUACAGACGGUAUGCCAACAAAAUCUGGCUUUCCUCGAUUUAAAAUGAAAUUAGGACAGUGAUUUCUUUUCGCUCUACUUUAGAUUCUUUGAAUGUACACCACAAUCUAAGUUUUGUGUGUUUUGCUGUGGAACAUUCUUUGGUAAUUUGGUAGAGCCAUAAUACAUGGAAAUGCCAUCUCCAGGGUCAGUACUUUAGAGGAGAAGAGGUAGUGUAGUCACCGAGAUAUUCAACAAAUGCUUGUGGAGUGGAGGUCUACCAGGAAGGGAAAGCUCUGUCCUUGCUUCAUGUUCUUGGUCUAGCUCUGAGACCUUGUGCACACCCGUUUUUGUCUUGCGUAUCUGUGCCAUAAGUCCCACAUGUCAAACUAACAUGUGAGACUAACAUGACAAUUACACAACAAAAAAAGAAACGAAAUGAGAGUACACCUUCACACAACAAGAAAUCUAUAUGAAAUAAGGGAUUUGGUCCUUUAGUAAUUCUAUAAUGCUUGACAUACCAACUUCAGAAUUACAGUAAAACUUAGAACAAAGAGAAUGACAUUUGUAACUCAGCUUGUUUACUUUUAAAAAAAGUUCCAGUUUUAUUGAGAAAUAAUUGGCAUGUAUCAUUAUAUAAGUUUAAGGCACACAGCAUGAUGGUUUGAUUCACACCUACUGUGAAAUGAUUACCACCAUAGAUUUGACUUACAUUCAUCUUCUCGUGUAGAUACAGUAAAAAGACAAGAAAGAAAAAAAAAAUAAUCCUUGUGAUGAAAACUCGUAGGAUUUACUCUUUUAACAAUUUGCCUAUAUGUCAUGCAACAGUGUAGCUAUCGCUGACAUAUUGUAUGUUAUAUCCCUUGUACUUAAUUAUUUUAUAACUGGAAGAUUGUAUCUUUGACCACCUUCCUCCAAUUCCCCCUCUCCCACUCUUCGCCUCUAGUAACCACAAGUUGGAUCUCUUUUUCUAUGAGUUUUUUUUGUCUUAUUUAACUUAGCAUAAUGCCUUCAAGGUCCCACUAUGUUGUCACAAGUGGUAGGAAUUCCUCAUUUUAAAGGCUGAAUGAUAUUCCAUUGAAUAUAUAUACCACAACUGCUUUAUCUGUUCAUCCAUCAUUGGACACUUAGGUUGUUUCCAUGUCUUGGCUAAUGUAAACAAUGCUUCUGUGAACAUGGGGGCGCAGGUAUCUUUUUGUGUUACUGUUUUUGUUUCCUUUGGAUGUAUUCCCGGAACCAGAAUUGUUGGAUAAUAUGGUAGUUCUAUUUUUAAUUUUUUGAGGAUCCUCCAUACUGUUUUACAUAGUGGCUGCAUCAAUUCACAGUCCCACCAACAGUGUAACAAAGGUUCUCUUUUCUCCACAUCCACAUUUGUUAUUCUUACCUUUUUGAUUAUAACCAUUCCAACAGGUGUGAGAUACUAUGUAAUUGUGCUGUGAGUUUGCAUUUUCCUGAUGAUUUUAAUGAUGCUGAGCAUCUUUUCCUGUACCUGUUGGCUUUUUGUGUAUCUUCUUGAGAGAAAUAUCUAUUUGGGUCCUUUGCCCAUUUUUAAAUUGAGUUAUUUGUGGUUUUUUAUUUGUUUGUUUAUAUAAGUUGUAUUGAGUUCUUCAUGUAUUUUGAAUAAUAACACCAUUAUCAGAUACAUAUAUGGUUUGCAAAUAUUUUUUCCUAUUUCAUAGGUUGUCUUUUCACUUUGUUGAUGGCUUAUUUUGCUGCACAGAAACUUUUUAGUUUGAUAUAGUUUCAGUUAUUUUUUAUUUUGUUACUUGUAUUUUAGGUGUUAUGUUCAAAAAGUCAGUAUAAGAUUCAUGUCAAAGAGCUUUAUUUCUAUGUUUUCUUCUGGGAGUUUCAUGAUUUGAGGUCUUAUAUAUAAGUCUUAUCUAUUAUGAGUUAAUUUUUGUGAGUGGUAUAAGAUAUGGGUCCAUUUCAUUCUUUUGCAUGGGAAUAUACAAUUAUCCCGGCACCAUUUAUUGAAAAGACUAUCUUUUCCCCGUUGAGUGUUUUUGCCUCCCUUUUUAAAUAUUAGUUGGCUGUACAUGCUUGGGUUUAUUUCUGGGCUCUUGGUUCUGUUCCGUUGGUCUAUUUGUUUUUGUGCCAGUACCAUACUGUUUUGAUGACUCUAGCUUUGUAGUACAGCUUGAAAUCAGGAAGUGUGAUACCUCCUGCUUUGUUCUAAAUCUUGAGAUUUCUUUAGCUAUUUGGGGUCUUUUGGGGUUCCAAUAUGGAUUGUAGGAGUGUUUUACUACCUCUGUUAAAAAUGCCAUUGGACUCUUGGUGUGGAUUGCAUUGAAUCUACAGAUGGUUUUUGGUGUCUUUGAUAUUUUAGCAACAUUAAUUUUCCCAAUCUAGAAACACAGGAUACCUUUCCAUUUAUUUGUGUCUUCUUCAGUUUUUUUCAUCAGUAUGUUGUAAUUUUCAGAGUAGAGAUCUUUCGCUUCCUUAGUUGAUUUUUUUUUACUAAGAUUUUGUUGUUUUUGACACUAUUGUAAGUGGGAUUGAUUUAUUUCUUUUUCAGGAAAUUUCUUGUUAUUAUAUCUUGUUUACUGUUUGAUUUACUUUUGAUGAAUAUUUUUCCUUUUGGGUCAGCAUAUGAAUAUUUUGGUAUUCUCUCACUUUCCCCGAGAAAUAAGGAUUAUUAUAAUGGUAUAUAGCCCAUAUUUGUUUGCCCUUUAUAUAGCUCCGUGUAUCAAUCAUUACUGCUGAUUUCUUAGUGGAAAUUUUUCUUUCAACUUCAUUUUGGCUUUACCUCCAAAUGCCUUCUUCUGUUGGCUGAAAUUUAGCCCUAUAAUUUGUGGCUUUCCGGAGAGGGAACCUUCGUGGUCAGGUGGAGGAGGGAGGCUGCAUUCCAACUGUGGAGUAAGUAGGUGUUCCAGACAGAGAGCUGACUCUGGAGUGAGGAGGGGUGCAGGGUGAAAGUUGGUUACUAAUUCAAGCCUUACCUGAGGCAGGAUUUUUUAAAUAGAAAAGUGCCCUCUCUAAUUAGCUGGCCCAAUAUGCAAUUAGAUUAAUGACAGCCAGCUGUUGUAGAAACCUCUCCCAGAGUUAGCUAACCAAACAAUAGAUGUUCCAAGGAUAUGACAAAGAGCUAAUUUUCCUGCACUAGAGAAUUUGUAUCUUUACUUCUCGUACUUGCGAUGGACUGCCUCAUCACCGUAUGAAGGCCGAGCAGAGUCUCAUUUUUGGGAGUCAGACAUAAAACUUUUUUCUCCUGUGGAUGUCUGCUUGGGGGAAAAAAAAGCGUAUCUAUUACUUAAUUGUAACUUUUCAGUAAAUCCUGUGCUCUCAAAGCAUGUGUAAAGCUUUGAAAUUAACUGGUUUAAUUGGUAAUAAAGUUCUUUACUACUAGAGAUGGGAGUAUUUCCGUCAUUUAAGAUUCACUGAAUACAUAAUCACUUUUGUGAACCAUGAAAAACACUUAGAAAAUUGGUUGUUAGGCUAGAUAUAUUUUAGUGAUAAUUAAGUAUAUGUUCUUAAAAGUAUUCUUAUACUAUUAGAUGCUAGUAGAAGAUAUGUCAUCAUUGAUUUUUCCAAACUGCCCCCUCACCAAAACCUUUGAUAACCUGCUGUUUUCUGCUUUUGAAGUGGGAAAAUUAUGACAAAUGACUUCAUUCUGAAGUUGCACUUGAGUAAAAAGUUUUGAUAUUACUGAUCUCAUUUUAUUUCUGUCCAAAGAACAUAGUCACCUUUGACCUUUUAUGUGAAAAAAAGAGUGAUUGUUCUAAUUUUGCCUCCAUACUUACACUCUAAAAGGAGUAUGUUCUAGGCUUUCUCAUCAAUUAGGGUGGUCCCAAAUUAAAUCGUGGAAACAGAUCAUAAUUCACAUUGUAAGUAUUUGUUGGUUUUCUAGAAAACUUCAGUGAUGAUUAAAGGAGCUGUUUACGUUCAUUUCACUUUUCCUGAGAUGUGAAACACUAAUUCCGUAAAUGCAUUUUCAUAAACUAUAAUUUGUGGGUGCAGACUACUGUACUUCCAAAGUUAUGCAGAAAGUAUUCUUUAUUUCUUUCGAUCACCUCUUGAAAGUAUGGUUAAAAAAUGUCAGAGGAUGACAGAAAGAAAGAAUAAUACCUUUUGUGGUCUUAAAUGGUUCAGUUUUCAAACAUGAACUUUAUGGUCCACAUGAGAAAAAGAGUUACUACAAAGCGGUUAAGCUACUUGAAAACCAGGCAGUUUUUCUUGCCUAGAUGCUGAGAAACAUUUUCGAGCCAUUCCAAACCACUGGGAUCAUUUACUCUGAUUUCAGAUAAGCAAAAAUAAAAUAAACAAACUCCUGCCCAUGUGGGAACUGGUUCUGCUAUCUCUGUUCCAACUCUGCAAAGCCUGAAUGUCUCCCCAGUAUCUUUGAAUGGGUCUCAUUGUUUAUUUAUUGUGCUUUUCACAAGUGCUUGUAACUUCACCCUUGUUUUACUAAUAGCUUUGUUCUAAAGUGGGUUGACAUUUCAGUUAAUUUUCAAUGGCCUCAAUGUUUUUCCUUAAAUUAGGCCAGACUGAUGGGUCUGUUUAAAAUGAGACAGUUUCAUAUAAACUGUAGCGAAUAAAAAUAAGGAACUUUUAGUAGAGAUUUUUGAAAUUGUUUUCCUAAUUAAAAAUUGGAAAGUUAAAGAGAUGUUUUUUAAUAUUUAGUUGCUUGUAUUGGUAAAUUAAAUAAAUGGAUAUAGAGUUUAGUGUAGAAAUUAUAAGUUUUUGUAUUAAAACCUAUUAGAUGUGUAAAUAUUGUACAUUUUUAAAAUUUAUUUUUGAAUAUAAUACUUUUAAAAACCUGAUCAUGAGGAAUUCAGAAGAUAGGUCGAUGGCUUCCUUAUCUAGAUGAGCAGAUGGAAACACUACACACUAUUUUAUGUUUAGAUUUUUAUUGCAUUAACUUUUAAAACCAUAAGAAAACUUUUUCAUCUGUAGAAAUGAAACUAAAAAUGAAACUACCGGAGAAUUUGUCCUUGUACCACGAAUUGAAACUUAAAAAUUAUACAGCAGUACUGGCACGGAAAUGGGCAUCAUUAGGCAAAAUCUUGAAACAGGUUCUAGUACAGAGUAAAACUUACUUAAAUGAUAAAAUGACAUUUCAAUUAAAAAGAAAAAGCAUGGGAUAUUCAAAAAAAUUAUAUGGCAUAGAUUUUAGCCUUAUUUGAUUUUAUAUAUAAACAUAAAUUCCAGGGGCAUCUGGUUGGCUCCGUCGAUAGCACAUGCAACUCUUGAUCUCCCAGAGUCAUGAGUUCGAGCCCCACGUUGGAGAUAGAGAUUACUUAAAUAAAUACAUAAAUGAAAAUAAAUCAAUAUUAACAACAUGAAUACAACCGAAAAGCAAUCUAAGUAAAAAUAUUAGGAAAUAUAUUAGGAAAAAAAUAGGAUACUAAGAAACUAUUGUUCGUAAACUUGCUAACAAACUUUGAGUCAAAAAGCAAAGAUUGAUGGAUAUGGUUACAUAAAAAGUAGAACAUUCCCAUUUACAAAGGCACCAUAAACAAACCAGAACAAUAUUUGCAAAAAAAUGGUAUAAAAUUAAUAUAGUUAUUAUGUACAGGGCUUUAGCACCUUAAUAAAGAGAAAAACAAAACAAUUUGGAAAGGGUAUGAACCAUAAACAACAUGCAGAUGUAGCCAGUGAAUAUUCAUAAAUGUGCUCAACUUCAUGAGUGGUCAGGAUAAUACAAAUGAAAACAAUAAGGUGUUAUUUUUAUCCCAUCAGAUUGGCAAACUUAAAAGGACUUAUAAUAUCUAAUGCCAAUAAGGAUAUGCAGUGACUGACUUUUUUGCAUGUUGUUGAUAAGAAUGUCAGUGUUUAACACCUAAAAUACAUUUAUUCUUUGUCUCACUGAUCUUAGUCUUCUAGGAAUCUAUCCUUAGAAAAUACGAAUAUAUAGGGAUAAAGUGUACGGUGUCCACUGUUAAUAAGCUAUAUGUUGUUAAUCUGAGUUAAUUGUUAAACAUGUAUUUUUAGCAAUUAAAAAAUCAGUGAAAACUUACUGAAUCAAAUAUGAUAUAUUCAAACUAUAGAAUAGAAUACAGCUCUCUUAAAAAUUAUGGGUAGGUAGCUGUAUUCUCGAGAAAAUGUACAUGACCUUGUUUAGUGAAUAAAGGAAAUUGCAUAUAUGUAUGUAUAUAUAAAUAUAUGAUCAUAUAUUAUAUAUCAGUUUUGUUAAUAAAAAGACAUCCAUAAAAUGCAUACAUUUGUCUAUCUUUGUGUACACAUAGUCAAAAUACGGAUAUUUCCCUAUUAGAUAGAUUAGAGAGGUGGAGGUGAAAAAAAUACAAGUAACCUGCAGUUGUAAUGUUAAAAAUGUCAAUACAUUUUUUUAAACAGAAAUUUUGACCAUUUUACUUUAAGGAGACACAUUAUUUCAAAACAAGUCAGAAUUACAUGAACAGUGAUCCCUGAAUUUAGAGGCAAAUAUAUAGAACUAUAGAUUGUGCCAUUUUGCUUCCUUCUCAUUUUGACGUAGUUACAAGGGGGAUUAAAGCCCUUCUUGAUUAUGAAACAUCCUUCUGGGGUUUCUUAACAAAGGGAUGGAUUUUGAAGUGGGAUAUAGCUUUGAAUAGCAUUCAAAAUAAAUUUAAUGGCCACUCCCAACUUUUAAGGGAGACAUAAAUUUGCCGUAAACUUUUCAAAUUGAUUUCCGCCCUUAAUUUAUAACCGCUUUAGGAUGAUUCAGGACGAUCUCCCUGCAUUACUCCUAAAAGGCAGUGAUUUAGAGCCAGGAAGCUUUGACUUGUCAGGUCGGGCUCUGCCUUGCUGACUCCAGGCUGGAUUAUUACUAUGGCUCUGAGACUUCAUUUCUUCUUUUGUCAAAUGGGAAUGACAAUGCUGAGAGUUAGCUAGUCAGUACUUUCAGUUCAUUUGGAGCUCUGCAUCAAAACGUAUGGUAAUGACAGACGUAGAGAUGGCACGUUCUGUGAUUUAUCUUCGUAUAAGUGGGGGCGAUAGCAGCUGACAUUACAGAUCAAGAGUUACUUACUACUCUGUGGCAGUAUGCUAACUUAGAAAAGUUUGUCCUUGCUUAUGGGAUUAUGUAGUACUAAGAUGUUUACAGUAAUCUAUCACUGCAGUUUGAUCUUCUCGUGGUGUUAGAGCCAGCAGGGACUUCAAAGUUUGAGACUGUCACGACAUGGUAAAGAUGAUCAAACUGAGAUGGAUUCCUUGUCCAUGGUCACACAGCUGGUUUAUGACAGAGCUGGGACAGCAUCUGGGCAACGUGCUGGGAAGUAUUUCUGGCAUAAAUGAGUUAAUAAAAUCAUCUCUUUACUCUCGAUCUAGGGCUUUUUCUUUAGCAUUUGUAUAUUUUACUUAAUGUGUUUCCUCAUUAUCGUGCAUGGGAUGAGUAUUAUAAAGAAAUCUAGGUAAUCUACUGGUGAGAAUACUAUCUAAAAGAAAAAGUAUACCCUUUUAGAAGCUGGUAGCCUUGCUUUCAUUUUUAAUUUUUUUCCCUUUCAAGUAGAGAUUUCUUCAGGAUAUUCUAUAAACUAUACUAAAUGGACUAAUUGUUGCCGAAAACAUAUAUAAGUGAUUUACUUAUUUGCAUGUUUAACUUAAUUGGACCAUUAUUUUGUGGUUUCCUCUGAGUUCAUAUGUGACUUAAAAAUACAUUUAAGUGUUUUAAGAGAAACUUGUUAUUUGGAGUAAGCACUGUGUCAUUAAGUAUGUACAAAAGUACCAGGUAAUUGAAAAAUAUGUAAACCAGUCUUUACUAACCUAAGAAGGAUUACUUUUCCUAGAAGUGAGCGUGAUUGUUGCAUUACUUGGGUGAAGAAUGAUCAAAAGAAUUAAGUAACUCACAUCCUAAUUACAUUGGAAAUUUUUGAGCAGGGAAGGCCUAAUAUGUAAGAAUCAGUGUAUCAAGUUGUUUUUGAUAUUAAAUGAGUUGAAUUCUGUAGUCUCAAUAUAUUUUGGACAUUUGAAGAUAUGAAUGCUUGCUUUGUACGUCAUUGGAGUUUGUGUGUAUAUAUAUAUAUGUGUGUAAGGGAGAGAUUUUUU